UGGGGAAUCUUGGACAAUGGGCGCAAGCCUGAUCCAGCCACGCCGCGUGAGUGAAGAAGGCCUUAGGGUUGUAAAGCUCUUUUGCCAGGGACGAUAAUGACGGUACCUGGAGAAUAAGCCCCGGCAAACUUCGUGCCAGCAGCCGCGGUAAUACGAAGGGGGCUAGCGUUGUUCGGAUUUACUGGGCGUAAAGCGCACGUAGGCGGGUCGUUAAGUCAGGGGUGAAAUCCCGGAGCUCAACUCCGGAACUGCCUUUGAUACUGGCGACCUUGAGGCUGGAAGAGGUUAGUGGAAUUCCCAGUGUAGAGGUGAAAUUCGUAGAUAUUGGGAAGAACACCAGUGGCGAAGGCGGCUAACUGGUCCAGAUCUGACGCUGAGGUGCGAAAGCGUGGGGAGCAAACA
rnacentral:rRNA from 1 species